rnacentral:ribozyme from 1 species
AGGAUGCAUUGGAUCGACCUUCUUGUGGUGCAUCCUGUGAGUACCCAUUCAUUGGGGAAACUGACGAUCC